GAUGAACGCUAGCGGCAGGCCUAAUACAUGCAAGUCGGACGGGAUCCAUUGAUAGCUUGCUAUCAAUGGUGAGAGUGGCGCACGGGUGCGUAACGCGUGAGCAGCCUGCCUCCAUCAGGGGGAUAGCCUCUCGAAAGAGAGAUUAACACCGCAUAAUAUCAACAGUUCGCAUGUUCAGUUGAUUAAAUAUUUAUAGGAUGGAGAUGGGCUCGCGUGACAUUAGCUAGUUGGUAGGGUAACGGCUUACCAAGGCGACGAUGUCUAGGGGCUCUGAGAGGAGAAUCCCCCACACUGGUACUGAGACACAGACCAGACUCCUACGGGAGGCAGCAGUAAGGAAUAUUAGUCAAUGGGCGGAAGCCUGAACCAGCCAUGCCGCGUGCAGGAUGACUGCCCUAUGGGUUGUAAACUGCUUUUGUCCAAGAAUAGACCUAAAUACGAGUAUUUAGCUGAAUGUACUGGAAGAAUAAGGAUCGGCUAACUCCGUG
rnacentral:rRNA from 1 species